rnacentral:rRNA from 1 species
AUACGUAGGGGGCGAGCGUUGUCCGGAAUGAUUGGGCGUAAAGGGCGCGUAGGCGGCCCGGUAAGUCUGGAGUGAAAGUCCUGUUUUUAAGAUGGGAAUUGCUUUGGAUACUGUCGGGCUUGAGUGCAGGAGAGGUAAGUGGAAUUCCCAGUGUAGCGGUGAAAUGCGUAGAGAUUGGGAGGAACACCAGUGGCGAAGGCGACUUACGAGACUGUAACUGACGCUGAGGCGCGAAAGUGGGGGGAGAAAACAGGAUUAGAUCCCCUGGUAGUCCACGCAGUAAACGAGGAUGCCUAACCGCCGGCGAGAGACUGUCGGUGGCCAAGCGAAAGCGAUAAGUCAUCCACCUGGGGAGUACGACCGCAAGGUUGAAACUCAAAGGAAUUGACGGGG